rfam:Lupinus angustifolius cultivar Tanjil chromosome LG06, whole genome shotgun sequence.
AUGCUAUGAUGAUAUAUCAGUUUAUUGAUUGCAUAAUGAUAUUUCGGCAGUUAUGUUGAACCUGAGCGGUUAACUGAGCAA